GGCUGGGGUUGGUUGUUAGUGUUCUCACGGGCCGUGUUAGGGCACGACACCGGGAAAGGGAGCCUGAGAAACGGCUAUACAUAAAAAGGAUGGCAGCAGGCGCGCAAAUUACCCAAUCCCCACACGGGGAGGUAGUGACAAUAAAUAACAAUACGGGGUUCUUUCGGAUUUCGUAAUUGGAAUGAGUACAAUUUAAAUCUCUUAACGAGGAACAAUUGGAGGGCAAGUCUGGUGCCAGCAGCCGCGGUAAUUCCAGCUCCAAUAGCGUAUAUUAAAGUUGUUGCAGUUAAAAAGCUCGUAGUUGAAUUUCGGGAUCAGUCUAUCGGUCGUGCCAUAGGAAGUACCGAUUUUAUUGGGUCCUCCCUUCCGGUGGACUAGGAAUGCAUUAAUUUUGUGUCAUAGGGGAAACUGGCUGGUUACUUUAAAAAAUUUUAUGGUUUUAAAGCAGGUCACGCUUGGAAUUAUUUACCAGGGAAAAAGGAAAAAGACCUUUCAAUCUUAUUUUGUUGUUUUCAAGAAUGGCUCUAUUAUUUAAAGGGAAUGUGGGGGCCAUAGAAUUCAAAUGG
rnacentral:rRNA from 1 species